rnacentral:misc_RNA from 1 species
GUGUGUUUCUAUUUGAGCUUCACGAUGCGUUAAUAAUAAAAAACACACUGCAUCAAGGAAACAUGAAGAAAAGAUCCACUCAUCGACACCCCUAAUGCCUCAGGAAAAAAGGGGGAUAAAAUAGUACUUGAUAGCAUUAUCCUCUUGGUGUUUCUCAGUAUAAGGUCCUCAGCGAUGAAUAUUAGGCCUAGUGAUACUUAU